UUGCCUCAGUCAAGAUUUCAUCAUCGCAAUAGAACGUUUACAAUUUGUUCCGACAAAUCGCAAGCUCGUCAGGUCGUGAAAAUUCAUAAGCUCAAGGAAUAUUUCCGAUUUUUAAAUAUUGGAAGAAAAUUUUGCGAUUGGCACAAACAAAGCUUAACAAAGCAUCAUCAGUUAAAGUGCGCACUAGCAUCGGCGACUAUUAUUUUUCCAGUGGUAUAAAUUCCGUGAAUCCUAGACAAAAAAAAGGUGAGAACAAUUUAAAGAACAGUUGGGCAUAGAAAUACGCGCCGCUGGGGAGACGUUAGUGAGCUCGCUUGUCACAGUCAAUAUUACUGCAAUAGCAACUGCUGGGUGUGGGCGAAUUUGCGCCCCGCCACCGGUUAAGCAGCAUAAUAAUUUAUUUAUGAUAUUAUGAAAAGCUUCGAUAAGAGAAUUCAUUAACGCAGACAAUGUACAAUGCACAAAGCUUUCAUUAAAAGAGCAUUAAAUCCUGAACUCUUUGCUAUUCUCACAAAUCGUAGCCAAGUCCUCACCUUGACUACUCAUUUUAUUUGCAAACAUACAAACAUUUAUGCUUACACACACAUACACACAAACGCAGAUAAAUGCUUAAAUAUAUAUUUGUUUAUAGUUAUCGGCUCUCGUAAAAGCACUUAAAAGCCGCCCACUUGCGUUUGCCUUUAACUAUUGUGUUGGGCUCUCGGCAAGAGCAACUUGAAAAUAUGCUUCCCUCGAAUUUUUCGCUCUGAUGCAAAACUUUUUGUUACAAGUGCUCUACUCACUCAAUAAUCAACCCAUUAAAUGUUACGUUUCUUUGUUUUAUUCUACAAAAAAUAGGAAAAGAAAAUUUUAAACAGUUUCAGUGAUAUAUAAGAGCAAGGCUUCAGAACAUCUGUGCUUGUAUGAUUUGAUUUGAUAUCUAUGUAAACGAUAUGGAAGAGAAAGGGAUGGACAAUCACUUUCGUUAUAUAAUUAUAUUCAGGCUUUUUUUUAAAUUCAAAAAAUUUUGGCUUAGUGACACUACAAAGCCCUUAAUAAAAAUUCUUUUCCAAGUCUAUUGAUAAUCGAAGAAGUCCUUCUGUCCGACCAUAAGAUAACAAUUGCACAGGAUCGUCAGCCGAUCCCUGUUCAAUCUCCACGUUAGCUUUAUUUAAGCCCCCUAACACAAUUUAGUCGAUAACAUAACAUGGUUAGCCAGCUGGUAGUUUGUCAGGUAGGACAUUAGCCUAAGCGCUUCAUAUCAUACAUUAACGGCAUUUAGGUAAAUUAUAGUCGAUAUCGAGUCUGUUCACUUCUUCUCCUGAUACUUGCUUCAUGGCCUCGCAGUUAACUUCUAUAGAUGUAAUUGCAAACAAGUCUUCCUCUUAGUUCAAUCUUAAUUGCCUUUAAAGUUUUGAUAGACAGUGGGACCAUCUUUGAAAAAAUUCGAAAGUUUCAACUUAAUCCCAUUAACAAAUUUCGCUUGAUGUGAUCUCGCUUUAGCUGAACGCAAGAUAUAUAUUAUUUCUUACUAUUUCACUGUAUGUGUUCAAAAGUUAAGUGAAUAAUAUAUUUAAUCCUUAACGAAACAUACCGCAGUUUAUAGCUACGAAAACUUGCAAGUGACUUAAAGCAACUGAAGCAGCAACAAUCUAAUUAUUAGCAAAUUAUGUGCGAUCUAUACCUAAAAGCAAAAAUUUUCUACUUUUAUGGUACCCAGUAGAGUGAUUUUUCCGCUGCUUCCCCCGCUUUUUUUACAACCUGUAUCACGCCUACAUGCCAAAUAAGAUUUUAGGGGACUUACCACUAUCACUACCUUCUUCUCAAGGACGAUUUUUAAGCGUAGACAUUUCCAACAUUUUCUAUCCUAUCGCGCUUUGUUUGCCUAUAGCAUACAUGAGAAUAUAGACAAAAUUUUAUCGUAUAGUAAAUGUUGUUUAUAAAUGCCGGUCCAAAGAAUAGCGAGCACCGCCAAAAGGAAUCGCACUUUAAAGGCUGAAAUCCGUUUUCUUAAAGUGUAAUGCAGCUAAGGUAAUUAAAGCGGAGAGCACACGCCCUACAUUUUGCCGGCAAAUGGUUCUUCCCAUACCGUCGCACACAGUUUUAAACUUGCAAAACGAAAGCACAAAAAUACAACUACCUUCCUCUGCUUCCUAGGUACUACAAUAUCAACACGUACGGUAUACACAUCGACAUUCCUUGAGUGGUUGGCCAAACGAAAAAAAAAAAAAAGAAGUGAAAAAUUACAUACAUAAACGUUGUAUGAACGAACAUAUUUUAUGUAAACCCGAGGCAAUGUUUCACGACAUCUAGAAGGCAAAGGAAUUUUUGAUUUAUCAUUGACGGCAUACACUAAACAUCCUAAAAAGCUGGCACUCAAGGCAGCAAGGAAUAAAGUUACCUUUUUUUUAUACUCACAACGCAUGCAUCAAUCACUUAACUAAUUCACCUACACUUAAAGGCACUGCUUGGAAAACCAUCUAAUUAAUUUCUCUUAAGUUUAACGACAAUUCGAGAUGUGAAAGUAAAUCACCGACUAGGACUUUCUUAUGCAUUGCUCUCGCAUCAAUGUAAUUAAAUAUAUUUGACGUAAUCGUAAUCUUUCUUUCACUUUGUCUGUCACGAGAUUAUUAAGGAAAGUACAUUAAAGUCUUAUUUUUCAUUGCAAUAAAGCCAUACAUGUUGACAUAUGAUCAUUACUGUUCAUUAAUUCAUAAAAGGCUUUUACAGAACGCAUUUCAUUUUCAUACCCAUAAUUCUCUCACUCUCUUGCGCCAUUUUUCUUUCAUCUUCCAUCUCACUUUCUUUCUGUAUCUCAUUUUAAUGAAACAUUCCUAAUACAUGUUGGUCUUGACUUUAAUUACUUGAAAAAACAUAUUUAAUACAUAAUUAUAAUGAUAGUAAUAAUAAUAAUAAUAAUAAUAAUAAUAAUAACGAUAAUGAUAAUUAAAAGUGAUAUUAACUAAUGAAAUGAGUAGAACGAAGAGUAUAUGAAAUUUAAACGCUUUUCAAUGUUAACGCACAUAAGAAAUUCCCUUUAUAUGCAGAUAUACGUUUAUAUGUUCUUAGAUGUGGAUUUCUGUAGGCUUGGAAAGAAAUUCCAAGCUGUGUGCAAAAGGAUUUUUUAUGAUUUUUACCAUCUUUCUGAGUGAAAAUUCUCAUUUGAAGUUCCUUCAAGCAAAUGAUUUUGUUUAAUGCCGGACAGUAACUAAAUAUCAGUUAAAUAAGAAUUUGAAAAAGUUUAAAAAAAAAAUUAAAAAAUAUUAAUUUUUUUGCAAUUUGUUUUAUUUUAACAAUUAUGCUUAUAAUUUGCUUUUUAUAAAAUUUCUUUGUUUUAUGUGAAAACCAGUUGCAGAUCUGCACUAACUUCACUUUAUUGUAGGCGUAUGUGUGCACGUAUUUAUAGUUAUAGAUAAACGAUAAUAAAUAUUAUUUGCACCUACACAGAGUCAAGUCAAUAAAUAGAAAAAAAAAAAACAAAAAUAAAAUCAAAAUAAUAAUAAUAAGAAGAAUCGCAAUAAUAAUAAGGACAAGUAAAGAAAGCUUUUCAAUGACUAACUAAAACUUUGUCUAUGCGACUUUCUCCCUUUUUCUCUCAUCCUUUAAUCCGGUGAAUUCUUGUAUUCAUUUAAACGGAAAAAAAAUAAAAAAUAAAAAAAAAAAUAUCCGUUCAUAAAAACGCUUCCUUCUGGACGCUGCAGAAGGAAACCAAAGCCGGCACCCUGAAUUUCUCAUCGUUCAAAAGUAGCUUUACUUCCAAUGUUAAUUUCCUGAAGAGAAGGUAAAAACUUAAAAAAAAAAAA